UCCUUCGGGGUGAGUGGCAGACGGGUGAGUAACACGUGGGAACGUACCCCUUUGUUCGGAAUAACCCUGGGAAACUAGGGCUAAUACCGGAUACGGCCGAGAGGCGAAAGGUUUACCGCAGAGGGAUCGGCCCGCGUCCGAUUAGCUUGUUGGUGAGGUAAUGGCUCACCAAGGCUUCGAUCGGUAGCUGGUCUGAGAGGAUGGCCAGCCACAUUGGGACUGAGACACGGCCCAAACUCCUACGGGAGGCAGCAGUGGGGAAUAUUGGACAAUGGGCGCAAGCCUGAUCCAGCCAUGCCGCGUGAGUGAUGACGGCCUUAGGGUUGUAAAGCUCUUUUACCUGGGAAGAUCAUGACGGUACCAGGAGAAUAAGCCCCGGCUAACUUCGUG
rnacentral:rRNA from 1 species